rnacentral:rRNA from 1 species
GAUGAACGCUGGCGGCGUGCCUAAUACAUGCAAGUCGAACGAGGUGCUUGAGUAGCAAUACGAGAGUAUCCUAGUGGCGAACGGGUGAGUAACGCGUUGGUGACCUACCCCAAAGUGUGGGAUAACAGUCCGAAAGGAUUGCUAAUACCGCAUGUGGUUAUCGGAUUUAGAAACUGGUAACUAAAGGAGCAAUUCGCUUUGGGAGGGACCUGCGUCCCAUCAGCUAGUUGGUGAGGUAACGGCUCACCAAGGCUACGACGGGUAGGGGACCUGAGAGGGUGGCCCCCCACAAUGGAACUGAAACACGGUCCAUACACCUACGGGUGGCAGCAGUAGGGAAUAUUGCACAAUGGGCGAAAGCCUGAUGCAGCAACGCCGCGUGUGCGAUGAAGGCCUUCGGGUCGUAAAGCACUUUUCUGAGAGAUGAGAAAGGACAGUAUCUCAGGAAUAAGUCUCGGCUAACUACGUGC